AAAAAAUUAUUGUAUUUUAAAGCUUAUCUUUUUCUUCUUGAAUUUCGACACUGAUAAGAUUAUGGGCGUGGAGGUGGGGUGGUGCCAGAUUAGUCGAAGGGAAUGGUGGCUUCUGUUUCUCGCUCUGCCAAAAAAUUGCAGCAGCGGCGGCGGCGGCGUCGUUUCUUUCAUUCAAAAAAGUCGCUGCUCUGGUGGCUGGCAGGGGGUUCAUUCGUUCCAAACGUUCCGCUCUGGCAUUGAUGAUUCAAUUCCAAACGUUCCGCAAAGGCAGCGACGCACAUCGCACAUCAAAAAGCUAACUUUCGCUCUCUGUCGCUGGCGCUCUUUUGCUCUCUCUCCCCCUCUCUCAUUCUCUUUCUCUAUGGCUGUGCUUUUUGUUGUGUGUAUGUGUGCGUGCGUCAGCGAUAAUAAUUUGGAAUUUGAGUCUCCCCCGGCAUCAGCAGCACCGCACCAGCCGCCGCAACGCCUGGCACUGGCACUGCCUCUGGCUUUGGGGUUCUGGCGCUCUGGUGUUGCUGUUUCAGUUUCAUUUAGCGGGCGACCUCACCAGAGCACAUGUUGCUUUUGCGCGCUUACCGGCGGUUAACAGUACAAGCAGAAGCAGAACGAAGCAAGAAAGAGAACGGGAACAGCAGAAGGAAGCAGGGCGUAGAGGAAGCAGUUGAAAAUAAAGCGCCAGAAAAAUGUUAAACAAAAACACAAAAAAGAAACAAGAAUAAUAAAUAAUAAAAAUAAACCCAAGCGGAGAAAAGGAAAAGUGCACACAAAAUAAAAUUAAGAACAACAACAAAAACAACAAGUGAAAAUUGUAUAAUUUUGUCUAUAAUUAAAAUUUUGUUGCAACGAUCCUCCAGGCAAUGUGACUCUGAAGCGCCGCGAGUGCAAAAACAAAAACAAAACAAAAAAAACCAAGAAAGAAAUUAAGAAAAAGAACCAAAAGGAAGAGCUAAAGCAAAAGUGAAGGAAAGACAGAAAGAAAACAAAAAAAUCAACGGAAAGACCUUUAACCCUUAGACGGAACAUAGGAGACAUAGGCCUGGAUAGAGCCCCAAAACCUGAUGGCAACAACAACCAUA